AGAGUAUUUUUGAAAAACUACAAAUAUUUUGGCAUAAAUCACGUGUUAACCCUACUUUAGUUUUGACACGUUGCUUUACACUUUACCCUGCUCAAAUGAACAUAUCUGUUUCCACCUAAUUUUCCCAGUCUUUACGCUUGGUUUCUUCCUCCAAAUUUCCGCCGCUGCUCACCUCUUUUUUACAAUUCCCCUUGUUUCUUUUAGUAUUCUCUCUUCCCGGAUAGUUAAUUCGCCUUGAUUGUAUAGUAUAAGGUUGCAAAAGUGAUUAGCUAACACUUAUAAAACUUAAAUUUCUUCGUGAAUGGAUCGUCAACAAAAAAGAAAACAACCUUGCAUAACAACAGAUUCUUAUGAUAAGAAUGCCAGGUGGCGUGAACUCUAUCGUGACAUGGCCACGGCUAAAAAGAACACACUUCUACUGCAACGCCGCCUCAAAAAGAGAGAGGCGACAACUAAUCGUCUUCUUGGAAGUAUAAAAUCUAUUAAUCUUGCUGAAUCAAUGUGUGCAAUUCAGGAUAAUGUUAUUGUUGGAGGCUCUUGUUCUAUUUCCAAAAGAGUUGCAACUGAUCGUGAGGUUUUUACGCCACUAAAUGUGCUUGACAAAGGGAAAAAUGUGAUUCAUUCUAUUUCUACUUUUGAAAAUGGUUUGACAUCAAGUACUUCAGGUAAAUCAAGCGGUCCAAAUACUGAAACAAUCCUGGUCGAUGUUGCCAACACAAUAGCUUUCAACUCAAGAAAUGAAGUAAAAGAAACGUCAAAAUGAAGACGCUGGGGCAAAUUAGUUAGCUCGAGAGUAUUUUAGAGGAGUGUCAUGGGGUUGAGCAAAACUGAAGUGAACUUGAAGAGAUUACUUGUAACAGCACCAUAAUAGCAAAAUGAAGCAAAGCUUAUACAUAUUGUCGAGGGCCUCUAUGUAAAGCAGUAGGCAUCUAAUACUUGCUAACGUUGCCUCAAUCUGCUUGAAGAUUUACAAUUUAUUCUAUAUUUUCACUGAUAGUGUCGCAAAUGCUACUGGAUUCAAAUGUAGUUGCAUGGGACUUUUGGAUGCAAAUUCAGCUACUACUGGAUUUGGAAUUGGAUAUCAAGUACUGAACCCAAACAAAUCUGUACCUAAUCCUAUGUAACUCAGAAUAGUUUCAUCUUGCUGUUGGUAAUACUUGAUAACAUCACUUAUUCUCGAGCUGCCAACAGAAAUUCAUCUCUUCAGAAAAGUAAUACCAAGUCUCGCCCUGCGGGUUGAUGCUUUGAAAAAGAUAGCCUAUUUAUUUUGCAUGAGGAGAAGCAAGCUGAAAAGCAGCAGUGCGCCGUUGUUGCUUCAAAAAUUCCCCACAACUUCUCUUUUAUGCCAGAUAAUGAAGUCAUCAUGCGGCCAUCAUAACAUUGUUUAGAAGCUCUAUUCCAAUGUCAACCAAAUUAUGUUACAGUUUGUACAUCCGGUCAAAGAUUGUUUCUUUUGACAUUUGACCUCAUUGUGGAAGAAUCACUAAAAACUUGAGGCUUAGGAAAAUAAAGGUAUCUCAACUGUGAAUUCUCUAUCUAUUGCAUUUUACGUAAUUUCUCGAGGUAAUUCGUCUUUUCAUACGCUAUCUUAAUUACUUACCUAUUUCUGUUAGCACCAGUCAAUUCUUGGUAAAAGAAAAUUACUGUAUUAUCUUAAUUUAUUUCCAAGCUUUUCCAACUUUUAAUAGCUCUGUUUGAUUCUUUAUUUCACAUUGUUCUUCGUGGACUUUGGUAGAUGCUUAUAUUCGUUUUCCAAUUUGUAUGGAACAUCAUAUUGGUUAUUCUUGAUAAACAACAAGGUACACUCUCUCUCUCUCUUAAUUUGUUUGUGGACUUUCGACUUACAAAUUUGACCCGGCGCUAAAUCACACGAGAUUAAUCUUUUUGUCAUGAAAAACAUACAUACUGGGAAACUACAUGUAAACUUUAACAAAAGAGUAUUUCCUACAUUUUUAGCCAAAUCUUUUUUGAUUUGAAUCUCAAGAUAUUUUGUUACUAUGGUCUGCUAAAUCGCAUCAGAUUAAUCUUUUUGUCGUGAAAAGCAUAUAUAUUCAAGAACUACACUAAAACUACUGCAGAAAAGAGAUUUAUAUGGUUCUUUAUAGAAAUAGUUCAUAUUGGCAAAACAAAUUAUAAUAUGAAGCGAUAACUGUAGAUUCAUAGUUGGAUUUAAUAGUUAGUAUCAUAAAACUGAUUAAUUGAUACUAUUUUCCAUUCCCGUUUUCUAUUAUAUUGUCAACAUCUCCUUGCCAAAAAGUUUUGGUGUUCUGCUUCUGGCUACAUAGAAAGAGCGCCGAUCUAUUUGGCAUAUAACUUUCACAAAGUAAUGUUAUUGUCUUACAAUUUGAUGAUCUUUAAGGUAUAAAUAAGUUCAGGUCAUUGUCAAAUUUUCAAAUCUCAGCUGAAGUUAUUUCUUCUGUGGCGUUGCAGCUCCAAAUCUUCAACUGCUAAUAAAAAGUUGUACUUCUCUUUGUGGUUCAGAUUUUCUAACACAAAGAAAGCUAGAACAAGAUCAAGAUCAUUACCACCGAUCCAAACUCCUUGACAUCAGUUUCAUUUAACAAACACCUUUUGCAGAGAAAAAGUGAUCAUUUGUCACCAACCAUUUGCUAUUAUAUUCUGGUAGUAAUUUUUUUUAAUUAUUGCUGAUCGAUAGAUGUUUCUUAUACUUUGUUUGGUUAGUAAAUUAGCACCUGGAUAACUUAUACCUCAUAGAGGGUAGAGUAAUUAGUGUCGGGAUAACUUAUACCUUAUUUUUUGAAAUUAUGCAAUUAACGACUCCUUAAAGGAUUAACUAUUUACAUUCGGUAAUCAAAAAAGUGUAUAAAAUUUA